GUUAAGCGACUAAGCGUACACGGUGGAUGCCCUGGCAGUCAGAGGCGAUGAAGGACGUGCUAAUCUGCGAUAAGCGUCGGUAAGGUGAUAUGAACCGUUAUAACCGGCGAUUUCCGAAUGGGGAAACCCAGUGUGAUUCGUCACACUAUCAUUAACUGAAUCCAUAGGUUAAUGAGGCGAACCGGGGGAACUGAAACAUCUAAGUACCCCGAGGAAAAGAAAUCAACCGAGAUUCCCCCAGUAGCGGCGAGCGAACGGGGAGCAGCCCAGAGCCUGAAUCAGUGUGUGUGUU
rnacentral:rRNA from 1 species